rnacentral:rRNA from 1 species
AUUGAACGCUGGCGACAGGCCUAACACAUGCAAGUCGAGCGGAGCGGCGGACGGGUGAGUAAUGCCUAGGAAUCUGCCCGGUACUGGGGUAUAACGUCCGGCAACGGGCGCUAAUACCGCAUACUCUCAGAUGAGCCUAGGUCGGAUUAGCCUGUUGGUGGGGUAAAGGCCUACCAAGGCUACGAUCCGUAACUGGUUUGAGAGGAUGAUCAGGCGCACUGACACUGAGACACGGUCAAGACUCCUACGGGAGGCAGCAGGGGGGAAUAGGGGACGAUGGGCGAAAGCCUGAACCAGCCAUGCCGCGUGUGUGAGUAAGGUCUGCGGAUUGUAGAGCACUUUAAGUUGGGAGGCGUUACCAGCAGAAUAAGCACCGGCUAACUUCGUGCCAGCAGCCGCGGUAAUAC